GAUGAACGCUGGCGGCGUGCCUAAUACAUGCAAGUCGAGCGAACAGAUGAGGAGCUUGCUCCUCUGACGUUAGCGGCGGACGGGUGAGUAACACGUGGAUAACCUACCUAUAAGACUGGGAUAACUUCGGGAAACCGGAGCUAAUACCGGAUAAUAUAUUGAACCGCAUGGUUCAAUAGUGAAAGACGGUUUUGCUGUCACUUAUAGAUGGAUCCGCGCCGCAUUAGCUAGUUGGUAAGGUAAUGGCUUACCAAGGCAACGAUGCGUAGCCGACCUGAGAGGGUGAUCGGACACACUGGAACUGAGACACGGUCCAGACGACUACGGGAGGCAGCAGUAGGGAAUCUUCCGCAAUGGGCGAAAGCCUGACGGAGCAACGCCGCGUGAGUGAUGAAGGUCUUCGGAUCGUAAAACUCUGUUAUUAGGGAAGAACAAAUGUGUAAGUAACUAUGCACGUCUUGACGGUACCUAAUCAGAAAGCCACGGCUAACUACGUG
rnacentral:rRNA from 1 species